UACGAGGGGGGCGAGCGUUGUUCGGAAUUAUUGGGCGUAAAGGGUGCGUAGGCGGCCUGACAAGUCUGAUGUGAAAUCCCUGGGCUCAACCCAGGGCCUGCAUCGGAAACUGUCGGGCUUGAGUAUGGGAGAGGUGAGUGGAAUUUCCGGUGUAGCGGUGAAAUGCGUAGAUAUCGGAAGGAACACCAGUGGCGAAAGCGGCUUCCUGGUCCAGCACCGACGUUCAGGCACGAAAGCGUGGGGAGCAAACAGG
rnacentral:rRNA from 1 species